ensembl:lncRNA PMS2P4 PMS1 homolog 2, mismatch repair system component pseudogene 4
GUGGGAGUCGUGGAGGGAACUUUCCCAGGCCCCGAGGCGGAUCGGGUAUUGAGUCCAUGGAGCGAGCUGAGAGCUAGAGUACAGAACCUGCUAAGGCCAUCAAACCUAUCGAUCGGAAGUCAGUCCAUCAGAUUUGCUCUGGGCCGGUGGUACUGAGUCUAAGCACUGCGGUGAAGGAGUUAGUAGAAAACAGUCUGGAUGCUGGUGCCACCAAUAUUGCGAUGUCACCAUUUCUACCUGCCACGCAUCGGCGAAGGUUGGGACUCGACUGGUGUUUGAUCACGAUGGGAAAAUCAUCCAGAAAACCCCCUACCCCCACCCCAGAGGGACCACAGUCAGCGUGAAGCAGUUAUUUUCUACACUACCUGUGCACCAUAAGGAAUUUCAAAGGAAUAUUAAGAAGACGUGCCUGUUUCCCCUUCGCCUUCUGCCGUGAUUGUCAGUUUCCUGAGGCCUCCCCAGCCAUGCUUCCUGUACAGCCUGCAGAACUGUAAUUAACUAGCAUGGAUGGCCACGUUGAUUUCCAGGUGAAUUUAGGAUGAGUGUUUAAGAAUGCAUAGCAGGCCAGGCCUGGUGGCUCACACCUGUAAUCCCAGCACUCUGGGGGAGGCAGAGACAGGCGGAUCACUUGAAGCCACACAGAAAUCGAAAGAAGAAGUUUGAGUCCAGCCUGGCCAGUAUGGCGAAACUCUGUCUCUACUAAAAUACAAAUAUUAGCUGGGCAUGAUGGCACGUCUGUAAUUCCAGCUACUUGGGAGGCUUAGGCACGAGAAUCACUUGAACCCAGGAGGUGGAGGUUACAGUGAGCCAAGAAGAUCACACCACUACACUCCAGCCUGGAUGACAGAAUGAGACCCUGUCUCAAAAAAAACAAAACAAAAAAAACUGCAUAGCAAGUCCUUUUGCAUGAGGAUGAGUUACUAUUUAUCUUGAGAGCGUGUAUGCAAUGGAUUGUAUCUGCCAGGCUAUAUAAAAAGGACGCUUUGGCCGGGCGCCAUAGCUCACGCCUAUAAUCCCAGCACUUUGGGAGGCCUAGGCGGGCGAAUUACGAGGUCAGGAUUUCGAGACCAUCCUAGCUAACAUAACGAAACCCCAUCUCUACUAAAAAUACAAAAAAUUAGCCAGGUGUGGUGGCACGCACCUGUAGUCUCAGUUACUUGGGAGGCUGAGGCAGGAGAAUCGCUUAAACUGGGGAGGCGGAGGUUGCAGUGAGCCGAGAUCGCACCACUGCACUCCAGCCUGGGCGACAGAGCAAGAUUUUGUCUCAAAAAAAAAAAAAAAAAAAAAGGAGGGUUUAUUUUUCUUUGCAUCUCAUUAAUGGAUCAUCUGUGAUGGGCAUCACAGUCUGGUUUAAUGCUUAUUCAAUAAUAAAAUUGUUUGCUUUGUCUUC